ACGUUUUAAAUAUUUCAACGAUUUAUGAAAUUAAAAUAAUUUUAGAAUUUUACGUUGAAAAGAAUUCGAAUUACGAAAAAACGUUCGAUUGAAUUUAGAAAAAAAUCCUAAGCGGUGUUGAAUUCAAAUACCAAACUUAAUCCUAUUCCUAGCCCAAUUUGGUGAAGCCCAACAUGAUAAACCCAAAUUUCCUUCCUCCCUUCUCUAAUCCUAAUUCACGUGAAAAAAAAAAAAAAAAAAACAAAGACAAAACCCUCCCCUUUGAAACUUCACGUGAAAACCCAAAAUAAAUAAGCAAACCCCAUCUCUCUCCUUCCCUCCUUCACGUUCGUGGCUCUGCUCAGCCACCAACCUGCAACCGCCGCACCACCAGUGCACGCGCAACCCGCCGCCACGCAGCACCGCCGACCGCUUCCACCACCGCACGCACCACCAGGUCUUUUCCACCGCCCAUCCGCGCCGCUCGUCAGCACUGCCUCCGGCCGCGCCUCUAAGCGCUGUAGGAGACUUUCGAAAGUGUUAAAGUGGCCUAUCAGUUUGUUUACACAAGUCUCUAAGGAUCAAUAAGCGUUGCCCAUCUACAGGUUUGAAGAUGAUGCAUCAUUGGGAUCGGGAUUAGAGAGCUUGUAUUUAUUAUGAUUUGCUAAGUGACUUGGUUUGUUAAAUUGGACUUUAAACUUGUCGUAUUAUCUACAUUACUUUAUUUUCGUUGAUUGGUUUUGGGAAUUAACUUUGUAAUUGAUUAUUUAUAAACCUAAAGUUAGUUUUA